rnacentral:rRNA from 1 species
GAGGAAUUGGCGGGGGAGCACCGCAACGGGAGGAGCGUGCGGUUUAAUUGGAUUCAACACCGGAAAACUCACCAGCGGCGACUGUUACAUGAAAGUCAGGCCGAUGACCUUACUAGAUUUUCAGAGAGGUGGUGCAUGGCCGUCGUCAGUUCGUACCGUAAGGCGUUCUCUUAAGUGAGAUAACGAACGAGACCCUCACCAAUAGUUGCUAUCCAUCCUCCGGGGUGGGAGCACACUAUUGGGACCGCUGGCGCUAAGUCAGAGGAAGGAGAGGUCAACGGUAGGUCAGUAUGCCCCGAAUCUGCUGGGCUACACGCGCGCUACAAAGGGCGGGACAAUGGGCUCCGACGCCGAAAGGCGAAGGCAAUCCCGAAACCCGUCCGUAGUUCGGAUUGAGGGUUGUAACUCACCCUCAUGAAGCUGGAUUCCGUAGUAAUCGCGAAUCAACAACUCCCGGUGAAUAUGCCCCUGCUCCUUGCACACACCGCAAGGUC